rnacentral:rRNA from 1 species
AAACUGGAGAGUUUGAUCCUGGCUCAGAAUGAACGCUGGCGGCGUGCUUAACACAUGCAAGUCGAACGAGAAAGGGACUGCUUGCAGUCCUGAGUAGAGUGGCGCACGGGUGAGUAACGCGUGGAUAAUCUACCUCCGAAUUUGGGAUAACAUGGCGAAAGCCGUGCUAAUACCGGAUGAAGUUACGUAUUUUUAGGAAUGAGUAAUGAAAGAUAGCCUCUGCUUGCAAGCUAUUGUUUGGAGAUGAGUCCGCGUACCAUUAGCUAGUUGGUAAGGUAAAGGCUUACCAAGGCGACGAUGGUUAGCUGGUCUGAGAGGAUGAUCAGCCACACUGGAACUGGAACACGGUCCAGACUCCUACGGGAGGCAGCAGUGAGGAAUUUUGCGCAAUGGGGGCAACCCUGACGCAGCAACGCCGCGUGAGUGAUGAAGGCCUUUGGGUCGUAAAGCUCUGUCAAUGGGAAAGAAAUUAUACAGUGUUAAUAGUACUGUAUAUUGACGGUACCCAUGAAGGAAGCACCGGCUAACUCCGUGCCAGCAGCCGCGGUAAUACGGGGGGUGCAAGCGUUAUUCGGAAUUAUUGGGCGUAAAGGGCGCGUAGGCUGUAUAUUAGGUCA